CCUGGUUAGUUUUGCUGGUUUGCUUUCAGCUUUUCUCUCUACUGCUGUGCAAAUCCAUGCAAAACUGAUCAUGGA
rnacentral:pre_miRNA from 1 species